rnacentral:rRNA from 1 species
GUCCGCAACGAGCGACACCCUUGUCUUUAAUUGCCAGCAUUCAGUUGGGCACUUUAGAGAGACUGCCGGUGUUAAGCCGGAGGAGGUGGGGAUGACGUCAAGUCCUCAUGGCCUUUAUGUCCAGGGCUACACACGUGCUACAAUGGAUGGUACAAAGAGCAGCGACCUCGCGAGAGUGAGCAAAUCUCAAAAACCCAUCCUCAGUUCGGAUUGGAGUCUGCAACUCGACUCCAUGAAGUUGGAAUCGCUAGUAAUCGCGGAUCAGCAUGCCGCGGUGAAUACGUUCCCGGGCCUU